rnacentral:rRNA from 2 species
GAUUGACCUCGGAUCAGGUAGGGAUACCCGCUGAACUUAAGCAUAUCAAUAAGCGGAGGAAAAGAAACCAACAGGGAUUGCCUCAGUAACGGCGAGUGAAGCGGCAACAGCUCAAAUA